rnacentral:lncRNA from 1 species
AAAAGGUCCAGACAGCUAAACAAAGCCCAGGUGAUACACUGAGAUCCAGACAGGCCAAUAAUUGAUAUGAGAGUUCUUAUAACAGAUGGCAAGGAACAAGUCAUGAAGAUAAGUUUUAAUGAGCACAGAAUCUAACCACAAAGACACAUUCAAGACAGGAAUUCUAGGUUAGGUAUGAAGCUAAGAUUGGUUAUAAUAAGGCAGGAGGUCAGAAUGAGGUCUAAAAUGAAGAUGGCAGUACUGGUCAUUGAGAUUAUGGUUCCAGAAUUAGAGAUGAAGUUGAACCCAUGGGCAGAAAGAGAAUGGCUUCAGCUAUUGAGCUUAGUUAGCUGCUGGGUUCUAAGCUAAAUAUGAAGAUAAGUAUAUUUCUAUGAUAAUUUUAUUUAGAUAGAUCCCUGCUGCCAUUUCCCAACACAAAGGAAAAUUAAAUUUUUA